GCAGUAUGGAAAACAGUGUUGCCAAGUCAACCAAGCACUCAAAAUAGAAUUAAAAUCUCAUGAUAACUACAACCACAAUAUGCCAAGAGGGAAACAAAAAAGAAAUUGUUCCCAAAUGAGAGAGGAGGGAAAGCAGCACGGAGUAUGAAAUGUCUUGAAGUGUAGCUGGAGCCAAAUUGUCAUGAAGAAUGACACAGAAGUUUUUCCGCUUUCAAGGCAAGCCUGGGAAAUUGAAGUUUAGAGGAAAUGAGCAAAGAGAGAAAAGCAUACAGGAAGCAUAUGAGAUGGUUGUGUACACUGUGUUCCACUUCAUUCAGCAGCCCCACUCUCUUUUCUGAGGACCCAGCCACUCAGAAAGGUGAGCCUGCCACCCCACAUCUCUGGGUGGAGGCCUGGCCAGAAGGAGGUCUAAAAAACUCAAAAUUCAUUUUGGUUAAGCCAUCUGGAU
rnacentral:lncRNA from 1 species